UACAGAGGUCUCAAGCGUUGUUCGGAUUCAUUGGGCGUAAGGGGUGCGUAGGUGGCGCCGUAAGUCGGGUGUGAAAUUUCGGAGCUCAACUCCGAAACUGCAUUCGAUACUGCGGUGCUUGAGGACUGGAGAGGAGACUGGAAUUCAUGGUGUAGCAGUGAAAUGCGUAGAGAUCAUGAGGAAGACCAGUGGCGAAGGCGGGUCUCUGGACAGUUCCUGACACUGAGGCACGAAGGCCAGGGGAGCAAACGGG
rnacentral:rRNA from 1 species